rnacentral:rRNA from 1 species
AUGGGGGCCCGCUGCGGCCUGCUCGGCUUCCUGCUCGUCGCCGCCGUCCUGCUCCGUUUCCGCGGCGCCCACGCCCUGAACCAGACGUGCGAUGCGGAUGACCUGGAGGCGCUCCGGGCCUUUUCCGACGGCCUGGACGGGAAGGGCGCCGGCGCCGGGCUGCUCGGUUGGGGCGACGGCGAUGGCGGGUCGUGCUGCUCCUGGGCGGGCGUGUCCUGCGACCUCGGGAGGGUGGUUGGGCUGGAUCUCUCCAACCGCAGCCUCCGCGGCGUCAUCUCCCCCUCCGUCGCCUCCCUCAGCCGCCUCGCCGCGCUGAACCUCUCCCGGAACUCGUUCCGCGGCCAGGCGCCGGCGGGGCUCGGCCUGCUCCCCGGGCUGCGGGUGCUCGACCUCAGCGCCAACGCCCUCUCCGGCACGUUCCCGCCGAGCGGCGGCGCCGCCGGCGGGUUCCCGGCGAUUGAGGCGGUGAACGUCUCCUUCAACGAGUUCGCCGGGCCGCACCCUGCGUUCCCCGGCGCGGCGAACCUGACGGUGCUCGACAUCUCCGGCAACCGCUUCUCCGGCAGCAUCAACACCACCGCGCUCUGUGGCGCCACGCAGAACCUGACGGUCCUGCGGUUCUCGGGGAACGCGUUCUCUGGCGAUGUCCCGGCUGGCUUCGGCCGGUGCGAGGCGCUCGCCGAGCUCUCUCUCGACGGCAAUGGCCUCGCGGGGAGCCUCCCGGGUGACCUGUACACGGUGCCUGCGUUGCAGAGGCUGAGCUUACAGGACAACAACCUCUCCGGUGACCUUGACAACCUCGGUAACCUGUCGCAGCUUGUGCAGAUUGACUUGUCAUAUAACAAAUUCACCGGCUUCAUCCCUGAUGUGUUUGGGAGGCUGAGGAGGCUCGAGACCUUAAACUUGGCAACCAAUGGCUUCAAUGGCACAUUGCCCAGUUCACUGUCAAGCUGUCGGAUGUUGACAGUGGUCAGCGUAAGGAACAAUUCGCUCUCCGGUGAGAUCACACUCAACUUCAGCUUGCUGCCAAGGCUGAACACUUUCGAUGCUGGGUCAAACAAGCUGAGUGGUAACAUACCUGCUAGCCUCGCCCGGUGCGCCGAGCUGAAGACGCUGAACCUGGCAAGGAACAAGCUUGAUGGGCAGAUACCGGAGAGCUUCAAGAAUUUGAGUUCACUAUUGUACCUGUCGCUGACAGGCAACGGCUUCACGAACCUGUCAUCGGCAUUGCAGGUCUUGCAGGACCUGCCCAAACUGACCAGCUUGGUGCUCACCAACAAUUUCCAUGGGGGGGAGACGAUGCCAAUGGAUGGCAUCAAAGGGUUCAAGAGCAUGGAGGUGCUUGUCCUGGCGAACUGCGCGCUCACCGGCACAAUUCCGCCUUGGCUGCAGACCUUGGAGAGCCUCAGUGUGCUGGACAUUUCUUGGAACAAGCUGAAUGGUAACAUCCCCCGAUGGUUAGGCAGCCUGAACAAUCUCUUCUACAUUGAUCUGUCAAACAAUUCGUUCACCGGGGAACUCCCUGAGAGCUUUACCCGGAUGAAGGGUCUGAUUUCAAGUGAUGGCUCAAGUGAGCGGGCUUCGACCGAGUACGUCCCGUUAUUUAUAAAGAAGAAUUCAACCGGCAAAGGCCUGCAGUACAACCAAGUCAGCAGCUUCCCGGCGUCACUGAUCCUCUCCAACAACUUGCUUGCUGGGCCGGUAUUGCCAGGCUUUGGUCAUCUUGUGAAGCUUCAUGUACUGGACCUCAGCUGGAACAACUUCUCGGGGCGAAUUCCCGAUGAGUUGUCAGACAUGUCGAGCUUGGAAAAGUUGAAGUUGGCUCACAAUGAUCUCAGUGGGAGCAUACCGUCAUCUCUGACAAAGCUCAAUUUCCUCUCCGACUUUGAUGUGUCAUACAAUAAUUUGACUGGAGAUAUCCCAACCGGGGGCCAGUUUCUGACAUUCGCGAAUGAAGGCUUUCUGGGCAAUCCUGCACUCUGCCUCCUUCGGAAUGCGUCCUGCUCCGAGAAGGCUCGAAUUGUGGAAGCAGCACACCGUAAGAAAAGCAAAGCCAGCCUUGCUGCAGUUGGAGUAGGAACUGCAGUUGGGGUUAUCUUUGUCUUGUGGAUUACUUAUGUGAUUUUGGCAAGGGUUGUCCGUUCAAGAAUGCACGAGCGCAAUCCAAAGGCGGUUGCUAAUGCUGAAGACUCCUCAGGUUCUGCUAACUCAAGCUUGGUGCUGCUUUUCCAGAACAAUAAAGAUCUCAGCAUUGAGGACAUCUUGAAGUCCACGAACCACUUUGAUCAAGCAUACAUAGUUGGAUGUGGUGGUUUUGGCCUCGUCUACAAAUCAACGCUGCCGGAUGGGCGGAGGGUUGCGAUCAAGCGCCUUUCAGGCGACUACUCUCAGAUCGAGAGGGAGUUUCAGGCUGAGGUGGAGACACUUUCAAGGGCCCAGCAUGAGAACCUUGUGUUGCUGCAGGGCUAUUGCAAGAUCGGCAACGACAGGCUGCUGAUCUACUCAUACAUGGAGAAUGGCAGCUUGGAUUACUGGCUUCACGAGAGGACGGAUAGCGGCGCGCUGCUGGAUUGGCAGAAGCGGCUGCGGAUAGCUCAAGGUUCAGCAAGGGGGUUGGCAUACCUGCACAUGUCAUGUGAGCCACACAUACUGCACCGAGACAUCAAGUCAAGCAACAUCCUCCUGGAUGAGAACUUUGAAGCUCAUCUGGCCGAUUUCGGACUGGCGAGGCUUGUCUGCGCGUAUGACACCCACGUCACCACAGAUGUCGUUGGGACCCUGGGCUACAUUCCUCCAGAGUAUGCGCAGUCGCCCAUCGCGACUUACAAGGGCGACAUCUACAGCUUCGGCAUCGUGCUGCUGGAGCUGCUCACCGGCCGGAGGCCUGUGGACAUGUGCAGGCCCAAGGGGAGCAGGGACGUCGUGUCGUGGGUGCUUCAGAUGAGGAAAGAGGAUAGGGAGACCGAGGUUUUCCACCCGAAUGUGCAUGACAAGGCAAACGAAGGCGAGCUGCUGAGGGUGCUCGAGAUUGCAUGCCUCUGCGUAACCGCUGCCCCCAAGUCAAGGCCAACAUCGCAGCAGCUUGUCACCUGGCUCGACGACAUUGCGGAAAACCGUAGCUUAAUAAUCCAGUGA